AAGGCUUAAGGGUUCGUGGGGAAUUUUGAGGUCGCCAUCAUAUUUUCCUAUAAAGACUCAAUGCCGAAUAAUAAUGGCUUGUGCCCUUUUGCACAACUGUUGAUCCAAUGGAAAUGGAGGAGGAUAACUCAUCAGGGGAAUCAUCAGGGGAAAUUACAGAGGGGGAAUGAGUGAACUAGAAUUUAUCACGUGUGUCGACAUCUAAUGAGUGGAGUAGUUUUCGAGAUGUUCUCGCUCAAGGCAUGUAUAAU
rnacentral:lncRNA from 1 species